CCUACGGGGUGCAGCAGUGGGGAAUAUUGGACAAUGGGCGAAAGCCUGAUCCAGCCAUGCCGCGUGUGUGAAGAAGGCCUUCGGGUUGUAAAGCACUUUCAGUGGGGAAGAAAGCCUUGGGGCUAAUACCCUCGAGGAAGGACAUCACCCACAGAAGAAGCACCGGCUAACUCCGUGCCAGCAGCCGGGUAAUACGGAGGGUGCGAGCGUUAAUCGGAAUUACUGGGCGUAAAGCGCGCGUAGGCGGUCUGAUAAGCCGGUUGUGAAAGCCCCGGGCUCAACCUGGGAACGGCAUCCGGAACUGUCAGGCUAGAGUGCAGGAGAGGAAGGUAGAAUUCCCGGUGUAGCGGUGAAAUGCGUAGAGAUCGGGAGGAAUACCAGUGGCGAAGGCGGCCUUCUGGACUGACACUGACGCUGAGGUGCGAAAGCGUGGGUAGCAAACAGGAUUAGAUACCCUAGUAGUC
rnacentral:rRNA from 1 species